GACUAGCAGCUGCCAUAUCACCUCCGUUUACGCGUAGAGCGACACGGAUUUUAGUGUACUACGGGUAGUGUAUUUAUAUCACCUACCAACGACUAAGCACUACUGAAUGCAACCAACAGAUCACAUUCGUGUUUUCUUACGCGUUACGGAUAUCAUCUUGGCGCUUUCAAAGUACUGCAAAACAGAAAUAGAUGUCCGGUGAUUGGUAUUGGCAGAGUCGUAUAAAAGGCGUUUUGUGAGGUGGUGCUUAAAGGGGCGUGACUGCGACAGCCACCGCCGUCGCUGGCUGAUCAUGCCGGAGCACCGAGUGAAGCUCGUGCUGCAGCAAUGCACCUCGGCCCAGCUGACGCUCGCCUUGCCGUCUCACGCCACGGACCCGGCGGCAGGGGACGGUGUACUCGACGAGUGCGGCGUACCUGACCCGGAUGGCGUCAUUAGGAUCGGUCGCGGCAUGGUGAUAUUCGUGUGCUUCCUGGCGGGCGCGGACGAGUCGGCCGCAGCGCGCGCCGCCGCCACCGCGCUCUCCGUGCGGCUGAGCGAGCCGGACGCAGCGCGACGGUGGCGCCGCGCCGCGGACGACCGUGACGGCGCUGCCCGGUGACCUGCUGGUGGUGCCGCAGGCCACCCUCGGCGGCCGGCUCAAGGGCAGCGCGUUUCAGUACCACGGCAACGUGGCCAA